AAACCCCUAGGUUUCACUCACUAGCACCCACCUAUCAUCCGAAAACCUCCCGAACCCCUCUCACAACUUCGAUCAUCUCUCGCCUUCUCCAUCACUGCCGGCGCCCCUCAUUCUCUUCCUCUACCCGAUUGGGAGAGGACAGGCUCCCUCUUCCGCCUCCAUCUCAUCUAUAGCCGACGCUAACGCACACAAUAGGAGCUUCAUCCCAGAAUCCGCAGGCCAUCUCAUCUCCUCUACCAUCUUCCUCGCCGUUGACGUCAAGGUCUUCUCACAGAGCUUCCAGAUCUGAAAGCCAUCUCACGGUGCCUUCAUCUUUAGCCCACAGCUUCUUCCAAUUGGGAGAGGCGCCACCACCGAACUCUACAUCACCCUCUCCUGAUUAGUAGAGGUCUCUUCGCCACCACUAGUUUCCUUCCACCUCUCCAUUUCGGAUUUGAAGAGUAAAGCUUCAUCACUAGCCAGCAACCCCUCUCCUCUUCGGAUUUGAAGAGGAGAGUUCAUCCAUCCUUCAACAACCCCUUUAUCUUCAGAUUCGAAGAGAAGGUUUCAUUCUCCAUUGACGAGCAGCCAUCCACUUUGUCCACAGCCUUCGCUGGUAGAUUGGCCAUCAGAGAAGCUCCAUCCAGCAGCCCCCUCUCCACUUCGGAUUCGAAGAGGAGAGUUCUAUUCCGAUCCAUGCCUAUGACAUUGGGUUAUUUCUAUAUAUGUUGAAUUGUGUUAUUCUUGUUGAUUGUUGAAUUGUAACGUAGCUAUUCUCUCAUGUUUAGAAUUGCAUGUAAUUUUGCUUAAUUGAAUUCUCGCUCGUUAUGUGUUUGAUGAAAUGCCUCUUUCAUUAGUUAGUUUCUAAACUUGCAUCUUCUUUGGUUUGAAUUAUUGUGAUGAUUAGUUAGUUGAAUGUUUUAGGUUAGAUUAGAUUAGAUUAGUUGAAUUUUGACAAAUUUAUUCAUGUGGAAGUUUAUUUCUAAUAUUUCCUAAAUUUUUGAAUACUCAAAAAUAGAUUGAAGAGGAAUGAAAAUGCUCAAAAAUAGAUGUGGGGAAUGUGCUCGACGAGGUCACAUUUUGACACUCAAGUCAAAAAAAUGAACAUUAGGGACUUAGUGCAUACCUAAACUUCAUUGGCCGUGGUGCCUUUCAUUGGCUAGAUUGUCCAAUUUUCAACUGCUGAAAGUGUUGGACUUCAUCGGACAGUCUUAACAAGUAUCUGUUUCAUGUUGGUUGGAGCACAACUAAAAAUGAUGGUUCUGCUGUGCCAUCUAGGUUAUCAAUGGUUUGUUUUUUUCAUUGCUUAUGUGUGAUUUUGGUCAAGAGUUCUGAUAUUUGUGCUCGAGAGAGGAUUUUGAACAUUAUUUUUGACCAAAAUACUCUAGUCAUCAAGCUGUACACAGUGAGUUCUUCUUAUAUCCACAUAGAUUUACAUGGUCCAAAUAUAUCUAUUGACGUGCAAACAUAGUCUAUUUCUUGAAGCUUGAUCUCUUCAUAUAUAUAUGCCUCUUGCAUGGAAUAAUGUUUUUAGAUAUUCAUAUGUAAAUUUUCUUGUCAUUGCAUAUCAUAGCAACCAAUGCUGAUGCACAAGAAGUCAAAAACAAUUUCAUUUUAUCAAAUUGGACUUGUAAAAGAAAUAGGGAUCUAUAGCUGCAUCAAUUUUCGACCUUUUAGUUAGCUUGCUAGAUUUGAAGUCCUCAAUUGUUUUUUCCCAGAAUCUACCAAUAAUUUGAGGAGCAGAUCUAGUGGAACAAAUCAAACUGCCCUCUUUGUUUAGCAAUUGUUUCCUCGAUCUUACUUAGCAGAUCUAGUGGAAUGAAUUAUGCUGCCCUCUUGGUUUAACAAUUGUUUCCUUGAUCUGACUAUUCUUGGAUCGGUUGGACCGACUAGAGGGGAUGAAUAGCCCUGUAAAGUAGAAUAAUGAAUCUUGUCGAGAACCAGUUGACAAUUGCCACUCUUUUGAAUACUCAUUAUACUGAUCUCUCAUAUGUUAGGGAAACUAAGCAUUGGCCUCCGAGCUUAAUCGAUUCCUUGUAGCAUUUCAUCACACUUUCUUAACAAGCUCCAAUAUCUUGCUUGGUUGAUAAAUGGUGAUGCAUUAAGUCUUUUUCAAUGCGGAUGUUAAUGGGUCAUAAACAAAUUUUGUGUAUCACUUCUAAAGGACAUCAUAUCACAGGUAAAUUCUAAAGGAUACGUAUGAUAUGCUUGUUUAAGUUGAUUACAUAUGAUUUUUCUUCUUCAUUGCAAGUAACUUUUAUGUGAGAUAUAAAUUUUCAGUAAUAUAUAUAUUCUGCAUUGCUGAUAACACACAUGCCAAACAUACAAUUUUUACUUUAAGCCUCUUCUCAAGUGCAAUGAGAAAGCCACAUAUAAACAUAGCUAAGUGAUGCUCAAAAUUGCUUGCAUGAUGCUCUUUGAGGAGACAUUGAUAAGCGAAGAGGAGGAUUAAGAAGCACUACUUGAUCAGAAUAUGGAGGAUUAAGAUGCAGAAUAUAGAAAAAUAAAAGUCCAUGGCUGCAUAUAUCAAGAGAGAGGUUUGUUCUGCCUUGGUGCAACUUAUAGAAGUUCGACCAUCAUUCCUAGAGUGCCUUUUCAGAUAUUUUAAAGGUAAAUGGAGGUAUUCAAAAACUCCAGCUAAAUAGCUUGGGUAUGGAUGAUUACAGGAGCAACAACUACAUACUAUGUGGCACUACAUCCGAACCUCAUGGGUGUGAUUGGGAAGUAGUUCGACGAAGAACUAUCAAGAAGGCUAUGAGAUUUAAGUGAGAAUAUGGUUAAAGUCAAUGAGUAAAGAACAUUCAAGUCAAGAGGAUAAGUAGCAUCUAUAAAUAUCCUUUAAGUUCAUGUAAUAAGAUGUAGACGAUAGAAGUAGUUUUCAGUGUCUCCUAAUUAAAAUUUCUUUGUAUGCAAGUAAUUAUGCUUGUUAUAAAGUGUAUGGAUGAUAAUUUAUAUAUUUAUCUUGGUUGUUUAUUUAAUAAUA